CCCAAACAUAAUACACUUGGGCUUUCCCCUUAUCUUUCUGAGCCUUCCCUCCAGGAAGCCUGUCCUGGCUCCUCUACCUCUCUUUCAACUCAGAAAAAGUUGAGAUUUCCAAGGCAGAGUUCCUGAACUCUCACCCUUCUGAAAUUAAUCCUAGGUGGCCUAACUUGUAUCUGUGUAUCCCAGCAGUGUCCCUGUGCUAGGGACUCCAGUCCUGUCAUCUGAGUCUGCAUAUCUUCCAGCUCUAGACAUCAACAUUCGACUGUAUAAACCAUCUUAAACUUACUUAUGACAGACAUGUGAACAUUCCUCUCCAACAUGUUCUUUAAGAGAUCUCUUCUCAGCUCCAAGUGUGGGAUUCAAGCUCCUGUGUGAGAUGCCUACAUAAUAACUACUUGCAGUUCUUGGAUUCAGAAAACCAGGAGCACUUGGUAAAUUGCUAAGAGUUCAAGCAUCAUCCCUCCUGCAGGUGUGCUGAGCACCUGCCCUGUCUGUGCAGAAGAUUCCCACCCAUGAGUCAUACGGGAUACCCAGCUAGGGAGGACCAGAGAGAGAGAGGACGUGAAACCACCAGGGAGAUCUUGAAGCCCCAGAGAAGGAUGCAGCUGAGUAGCCUGUGGUCUAGCAGAUGGAGGAGUGGUGGUACUGAGCAGUGAGGAAUGGUUGCUCCCCAGAUGGUGGCACUGCUGUGGGAGGUUAUGGGACCUUCAGGAGGCGGAGCCUUGCUGGAGAAAGUGAGCCACCAGCACAUUCUACAAUCUCAGUGCUAGACAGGCAUGAGGAUUCCUGGGUCUGACUAGCCGGCCAGCGUAGUGGAUACUUCCCACUCCGAUACAGCGAAAGACUAUUUCUCAAACAAUGAGCCCCAGAGUCUGCUUGAGUCUGUGCUCCUCACGUCUCCUUGGCAAGGAGGGCCUACGGGAGAAACAUCCGGUUACAACACUCCAGACACAACUUUGUGUCCUCUGCUGUCCGCGGAUCAGAGACAACUUGUCCACAGCCACUCCCUGUAGCUUACUCAUCAACCACACGGUGCGGGACCUCUCUGUGCUCUCUGAAAGGCGUAGAAUGGAGCUCGCUCUGCUUUGCAGGUCUGAGCUCUCCUUAAAGCCCCCGGUACAUUGUCUGUUCGCUGUAUUAAGAAACCCCCUGCUACAUUUCUUACUCAAAAGCAUGCUCCGCCUCAGUGUCCCUCCUGACAAACCUUGACAUGCCUCUCUCGUCUCUUCCUUUUCUGAUGGAAGUAAUGUGGUCCCCAAGUUCCAAGCCGCCCCUUUCCAGUGUCCUCCCUACAAGAUCCAGACCUUACAUUUUCUCUGACAGAACUGUGCUCCUAUCCAAUCUACUGUGGUCUAAAAUAAGAACUGUGCCACACAGGCUCAUGGAUCUGCAUGCUUGGACCCCAGCCAGUGGCACUGUUUGGGAUGGUUUGAGGAGGCGGGGCCCACCUAGAAGGAGGGAGUCACUGGGGCUAGGUUCUAUAGCUUAUGAAUAACCUCUCUGACCUUUAAAUGGACUCUCCAAAAACAGGGGGCUAAAACAACCUCAUACAGAUUUGGAAGAGCACACUGGGAAGAUGGGAGGAGAGAGGCACCAUGGGUAUUACAGUCCACUCGUGAUGGGCUGGCUAUUAAAUCCACCCAUUCUACAAACAAAAUGAUUUCCUCAGCAAAUUUAAGGCCUAAUGGGGAACACAGAGUUUUCCUUUUUCAGAGGAGAAACAAAUGAACUAAUUCCCUUGGAGGGUUUUGUCUUGUCUUGGUUUCGUUCUGCUCUGAGCUGCUCUGGCUUGGGAAGCUCUUUAAGUUAAUCCUUGGAAAGACAUCCUUCUGAACCAGAGAUAGCCUCCCACCUUCCAAGGCACCCUUCCAGAGGGGAAAUUGCAUUGUGUUUGCUAUACCCUCGUCACUGCUAACUGUUAUCUGCAUCCAAAGAGGAACACAAGGCAGUUCAUAUUCCAGACGCCGGAUGUGUCACUUAUGUUUCUAAGGGCCCAGGGAUGUUUCCUUAUUGUUCAUGUGACUCUGCCUAUAUUUCAUAAACUGCUGGUGCGUAAAAUUACUACCAUUUAAACAAGUGAUACUUCUUUCUUCAUCUUCCCCGG
ensembl:lncRNA